UAAGGAAUAAAGAAGUGGAAGAGGGGAGAGGAGGAAGGAGCUUGCCACUCGAAGGGAUACACCGGGAAGCCCGUGGUGAAGAGGAGCUUGCCCCGAGAACAGGUUGAAGGGGCAGAAGCUGUCCAGGAGUCAUAAGAUUGGCUGCACUGCACUGAGGAGGAAGAUACAUUCUGAGGUUGGAGUGAUGGCUUCAUGGUGAAGAUCCUUGCUGCUCUUCCAGAGAACCCCAGCUGGUUCCUAGCACCCAGGUUUAAAGUGGACUCUCCCCACUAUAACUUGGCAGCAUUGGUGACAAUGCCCUAAACAGAAGGACUCCGACUGACCAGAUAAACAGAAAGAUUGUUAUUGAGUAAACAGAAGGCUGAAUUCAUAAUUCUUCAGGAAUCUCCUGUUUGGUAAACAGAAACCUCCUUUAAACCACACCAAAGGUGUCAACUAUCUUUAGCAAGGGCAUCUAAUGAAUCCCAACAGCUGGUAUCAAUCAGCUCAAAGACCCCCACCCUGCUGACUGUGAUGUAAAAUCCACUUGCUUUUCUGUCAUUUUACUUAUCUCUACCCCCAGAGAGAUUGUCUUCGCAGUGUAAUCCCCAA